rnacentral:rRNA from 1 species
UUGAGAGUCCUGAAGGAACGUUGAAGACGACGACGUUGAUAGGUCGGGUGUGUAAGUGUAGCGAUACAUUGAGCUAACCGAUACUAAUGAACCGUGAGGCUUAACCUUACAACGCCGAAG